UACGUAGGGUGCGAGCGUUAAUCGGAAUUACUGGGCGUAAAGCGUGCGCAGACGGUUGCGUAAGUCAGAUGUGAAAGCCCCGGGCUCAACCUGGGAAUUGCAUUUGAGACUGCGUAGCUAGGGUGCGGAAGAGGGAAGCGGAAUUUCCGGUGUAGCGGUGAAAUGCGUAGAUAUCAAGAGGAACACCUGAGGUGAAGACGGGUUGCUGGGCCGACACUGACGCUGAUGCGCGAAAGCCAGGGGAGCAAACGGG
rnacentral:rRNA from 1 species